UACGUAGGGGGCUAGCGUUGUCCGGAAUCAUUGGGCGUAAAGCGCGUGUAGGCGGUCCGGUAAGUCCGCUGUGAAAGUCGGGGGCUCAACCCUCGAAUGCCGGUGGAUACUGUCGGGCUCGAGUACGGAAGAGGCGAGUGGAAUUCCUGGUGUAGCGGUGAAAUGCGCAGAUAUCAGGAGGAACACCAAUUGCGAAGGCAGCUCGCUGGGACGUUACUGACGCUGAGACGCGAAAGCGUGGGGAGCAAACAGG
rnacentral:rRNA from 1 species